UAGGCAGAAGCCUGAUAGGUUUGGGGCAUUUAGCUGUUAACUAAAGUUUCGUGGGAUCGAAGCCCACCUGUCUAG
rnacentral:tRNA from 1 species